rnacentral:pre_miRNA from 7 species
UUAAUGAAAAGAGUGUUGUGUGCAAUGCUUUAUCUAGUUGGAUGUCAAGACACGUGAAACUUAAGUGCAUGACACCACACUGGGUAGAGGAGGGCUCACAGUGUUCCUCAUUUGUUGU